AUGUGAUUCAUUAGCAUAACUGGUUAAGGUCAGGCACGUAAGCAGCUGAAAGAGACCCACUUCACGUGGUACAAAUGUUCCAAGUUAGCAGUGUGGAAUGGGAACUGAGUCACUGGGAAACAAUACAGUUUUGUUCUAAUGGUGGGGGAAAAAAACAAAAACAUUGUCUCUAAAGGGUGAAAGCUUGGAGAUUAGCCCCGUAAUCCUAGCGAUGAGUAGAGGAGGUUGAUGGUGAUAAUUAGCCUCUUGAGACAAGUGGGCAGAAUUAGCAAAACCGCCAGAUAUUUGGGUAAUUAAUUUGCGUUGACAUUACAUAAACACCCAGCACCCUUAACCUCACAGAUUGUAGAGAGGCUUCCUGUAUCGACUUUUGCCUCCAUUGGAGCUGUGUACUUUUGCUUCUGUCCUCUACUCUGGCCGCUGGCUGCUCAGUUGCAGAUUUGAUGAAAUCUCUGCACCGGUAGCUGUCUCACCUUUUUUCGUCCUUCCCCCCUUCAGUUGAUGUCGGAGAUACUCGCUGCCCUUCUUUAGCUGUUCACACACACUCCUUUGCUUCCUUCCUCUCUUGGAAAGUUUCUGCAGGGCGUUGUGUGUGCUGCGCUGCAGGGCGUUUAUUUAACUCACAAACAGGCUUCUACCCACGGAAAGUUAUUAAAUGGCAUCCAUUCAAGGACAGUCCAUUUGCCAGGGAGUGCCCAUUUUAAAGAGGAAAUUGAAUUUGUUGGAAGAGGAAACUUAGGUUUGUUAUAUAUUUCUGUCGCAAAUGAACGCCCGCACAGAGCAAUAAUACACACUGUACACACAUUUGCGCUUUCUCGCUGUGUCAGAACUGUUAGUAGGUUGCAGAGGGUAUUGUCUGACCUCAUCUAAGCAUUUAUUGCCAUUCUGAAUACAUUAAUUGUAGUGCGAGUGAAUGAGGGAGUUUCUGCUGUGAGGGCAGCAUAGAAAAUGUAUAGGUUGAACAGUUCUUACAUCUGCUCUCUGUAACUGACCUUGGCAUUGGAUUGUUGACAGAAAGCAUGCUCAGAGUUGUAUGUUGGUCGCUGGGGGGAAAGCAACUGUGGCUGGAGGCUAGCAAGAGCCUUCUCAGAAAAAACACUCUAUCUAUUUUUAUCAGUAAAUAACAUCUGGCUUUUUUUUGGUUUCAGGUGCCAGUUUUAAGACAAAUUACCAUCAUAAUAAUCCUGAAAUAUCUCAUAUUUGUAAUAAUAUCCCUUUUUAUAGGCCAGGUUGGGUUUUUUAAUCAUUCAUCUCCUGGAGAAAGAAUGGCUGCUUUAUCAGAUUUCAUACUUAUUUUCCCCGCAGCUACAUAUUAUGACCUUUGUUCUUUGGAGUCAUGCUUGCCAAAACUGUAUCUACCCCACACGAGGUCAGUAGUCUGACUGUGUUUAUUGCAAACCCUUGCUGUUUGCUGCACUGUACAUACCUUAUGGUGGUUGAGCUUAAUAUAGUUGUGUAAGGUACUACAAGUGUCAGAGUACUUUUAUAAUACACCUAUCUGUCAUGUUGUUCUGAUAUUGAUCGUAAUUCGCGCUAUAUAUUCCGCAGCACUCAUCCGUCGUCUGCUUCGGCGAAGAUACAAGGAUAGUUUGAAAUUGUUGAUUUUUAACAGUCCACGGCUUUUAUACAGCAAUAAAUAGUUGGCUUCAACUCUGAGAAAUAGUAUUUCUCAGAUACAGCUGUGUGAGAAUUUACUUUAUUCAAAUGGCAAACAGAAAAUUCCACGCUGUUUACUUCGGGCUGUUUUUUUUGGUUUGGCCCGAUGAAAGCCAAAUGCCAUAACAAAUGUAUCGAGGAAAGUUGAACAAUAGACAGUGUAGUGUUGCUGUUUGCUGGUUGAUUUUUAUUGACUUUUGCCUCGUUCGUGCCAAGUAUGCGUAGUGAGUUAUUUAUCCAGUUUGUCAAGUGGAGGCAGAUCAGGGUCCCCGGGCGCUUAUGAUGCCCCCUGCUCACUUUGCUGAUGGGUGAAAAGCAGAGGUCACAUUUUGUCAUGUGCAGUGGUGUGCUGUGUCACGAUGACAAAUAAUUAGCUUUCACUAGAUCAGGGUGUGCUGUUUUUUCAAAGGGCCAUAUUUGAUGACAUUCUUUGAUGCAUUGAAAUUGAAUACAAAAGACUUGUGUGUAGUAAAAUCUCUCAGAGAAAAUAAUCCCGGAAGCUGGUGAGCCGUUUUAAUACAAGCUGGGCGGCGUUAAAAAAAAAAUAGUUGAGGAUCACACUAGGGCCUCGGGCCAGACUUUAGGCAUCCUUGCAUUAGAUGUUACAUCUUCUUGUAAACUUCCUUAGAGAGCUUAGUGAUCAGUCCUCAACAUGAUCCAGCAAAUAGGUGUCAAAAUUAAGUUUUUAUAACAUAAACAUAACAGAUAACAUUUACAAUAUAUAAGCACAGAAAUAACAUCCUCUUAACUGCUGAAACCUUUGAGAAUGAUAUAAAAAUACAGAGAAUAUACAAAAAAAUAUCGAUACAUCUGGUGGAUAUUUGAAUGUUACCGCCAACCAUCUACUAAACAUGAGCAGCAUGAGUCAUUCAAAGCAGUGGUCCCCAACCAUUUUUGUACCACAAACAAAAUGUUGAGGACAUGAUGGUUAAAAGUUCUUGCCCGAAAGAAAAAACAACAACACACAUGGACAUACAUAAAAUAUUCAGGAUGUUCUGUUCAUCUUCUGCUGUGGCUCCAUAUGCUUCUAUCGCAUCUUAUGAGAAUUUGGCAAAACAACGGUUUCGGCAGUAUCCCAGUAAAGCCUUUGUGGACAUAGAUGACCAAUUCUUAGUUUUGGCUGUCAGAUUGAGGAACCAUUACUGAGACCCAUCUGCCAGAGCUGACAGCCAACACUCCCAAAAGGAAACUCGCAAUGGGUUGUUUGUGACUCUCUCUCCUUUUCUGAGCAUCACUCUAUCCGUCAUUGCAAAUCAGCAGCCCUAGCACAAGCCGACAAGGUGAAUGGAAGUGAAUUCUCUAGAGACGAGCGAGAACAGCAUUCAGAUGCUGCUGUUCCAGAUAUGAUGUUAUGAUCUCAAUUCAAUGGUUGAUUCUCCACAGGAAUAAAUAUCAUUGACACGGUUGCAUAGUCCGGCAUUUUGACCUUUGUCAGGCUAAAAGGUUCCUUGUCAGUAUUGGUUUUGUUUGCAAAAUAUAAUGAUCAAUUAGAAGAGGUAAAAAAAAGAAAUUCUUGGAAAGCAAAAGUGUGUUAAAUCUGUGAUGGAAUAACAAUGGAAUCUAAUGUAAAAUAGCCUGGGUUGUACAGUUGCAGACAAAACAGACAGGCUUUAUGUUCAUGUUAAGAGCCAAAGGAUUUGGGCCUCUCACAUGAGAGAACAAGAACUUUGUUAUAAACAUGGGCUAUUGGACCUGAAGCUACAAUACUAGCAUUAAAAAAAAAGUUUUAUUGAUCCUUUGGCUAAAAUAUCGUUUUGUGUAAUUUAGGACUCUGCUGUUAGGCUAAAGUGGUGCAGCGGUGCAAACCACAUCUUCUACUAGUAGGUGCAAAGUUUCAAUUUUAUUUAGGCCUAAGUUGUGAGAUGUUAAAAAAAAAAAGUCCCAGAUUUAGCCUCUACUUCUGGUUUUAACUUUAAACAAGCUAAAUAAAUGUUCAUUCUUUAGUAUUUGAUCUCAAGAUAUAUCGUACAGUGGUACACAUAUAUUAUUUCAUCUUUGAUUUUUCCUCUGUGGAAGAUUCUAUUAGUUUACUGGAUAAGGUCUAGCUAUAAACCAUGGUUCUUAAUCUGAAAAGGUCUGUGACACAAUAUUGCUAUAUUUAGCUAUUGUUCUUUAAAUUUUUUAUGAGCUACGUUGGCUACUUUUACUUACCAAUUUCAAGGCAACUGCCAUCAAAACAGAAAAUACAGGCAAAGGGCAAAACCUGUGCAGCCAAUCAAAUCACAUCUUUAGUGUUCCUUCUAAAAUAAAUAAGGAUAUUUACUCCAAAUAUAUGAAUAAAUUCAUGCCUAUAUGAGGUAUAUUUCACAUCAAAUUUAUGCAUGCUUGAUGAACAGUAUAUGAUUAGGCUUUGCUAAAUGUUUCAAGUUUCUUUAAAACCUCUGAAAUUUGGUUUUUACAGUUAGCACUACAUUUUUUUAAAAAGAAAUAAAGACCAUCUGGUCUUUGUACGACUCUUACUGAGCUCCCAGGUAGCAUUGUGCGCCCCAAACUGAAAUUGCAGGGGCUUCACUACAGAGGAAAACUCAACUGUAUCUUAAGCUUACUGUGGGAAUUGAAUUAAGACCAAGCUGAGGGGAAAACAUCGAUUUUUUUUUUAUAUAAAUCAUGAAGUCUUACCUUUGUGCGGUCCAUGAGCAGUGCAUUCUGAAACGUCCAACAAGUUGCGUGACAUUUCUCGUGCUAUUUUUUUUUCCAUUUCUUUUGUGCAAUUACAAGGCGGUAAUAACCUCCCGUGGUUAUCGCGGGCAACGUUGCUCUGAGAAACUGAAGCACCUGUGAAGGCCUUUGUUCAGCAUUAACAGGCAGGAGCAAAUGAUCAAAUAUGCCUUUUAUCUUUUUCGCCACCACCAAUUCCACUUCCCAAUAAGCACGUGGACAAGCUAUGUCUACAUAAAGAAGUGCAGUCGUUGUGCAUCCAAGGUCAUCAUCUGCAAUCUUUUUUUUUUUUUACUGUUAGAAUGUCGGCUGAAUGAAAUAGGGAGAUUGAAAGGACGGACAGUUUGUUUCCAAGAUGAUGAUGACAGCCCUUGGAGCGUCGUUUAGAUAAUAAACAUGGAUUUUAUCUGCAAGAUUAAGUCCUAGGCACUCGCACAUGGCUGCCCCGUGGAAAUUAUUAUUGUUCUGUCAAGCUAUUGACACUCAAUUACCUGGUGAUCAUUGUGCACAGAGUCCGCUCACCGUACGGUUGUGUGUCUGGAGGUCGGAAUGAGUUUGCUGCGUAAAUGAACCACAUGUCGGAAAUAUAGAAGGUAAAUUGAUGGAUUGUCUAUCUUGCACUGUUUGCAGGUGAAGGAACUGAAAUUAUAUUUUUAUGAAUAGCAAUGGGUUCCCACUGCUAUUUAUGAGGCUAGUAAACAGGAAACCACCAUGCUGUAGAUUUGAAGCAGCUUUGACCAACCCUCAUUUUGGGAACCACUGAUUUACGACCGAUUUAUUAAGAAAAGUUUAGGGUCAAUUUCUAAUGCUAUGCAAAACCUCCAUCAGAGCUGAGAACUAGGAGCCAACUUUUAAUUAAUUUUUUCUUUCUCUUUACUAACCCUCUGACAAAGCCACACCUGCGGACACGCUGUAAGAUUUGGCUUUAAAUCUUAAACUGUUAAGAAAAGAGUGGCUGCUCCACCACUGUCUAACCUGGUCCUUUUGAAUCAGUUUGCUCCACUGUCUGUUCUAAAAGUGUCACAAUUCUGUUUUAGUUUUAGCCGAUUUUGAAAUACUACGACGCGCCAGUUGUUCGUCUCUGUCUAAAAGCGUGUUGGUAUCUUCUCUAAACGCCUCAGAGACAAUAAUGGCUCUUUUAAAUCAAUGUUUGUUUUUCUGAAUUAUGUUUUAAUAUUAUUGCCACCAUUUCACUUGAUUAAGACUGAGGAAGGAUUCCAAAUUUAGCUAAAUUAUUUCAGUGCAGCCUGAGGAGAUUUAGCAGUGGGUGGUCUCUUUCAGGUGCUCACGACUGGGUUGAACUAAGUGAACUUGAACGAAACGCCGGGGCAACUCUAAAUGGUUUGAAUGGGAAAAAUCCCCAUGACUCACUGGUUAAAUCUCUUCCGCUUAAGGCAAUACAGUACUGUUAAAGGCUUUUCCCUCUGAGAGCUUUCUACCCGAGAGCUAGGGGCAUUUAAAAAUGUAUUAGGGGGGGUGGGGUGGAUAUUUAUGAAUGGAUAUCUUCACACACUGGAUUAAAAGUAGUUCUCUUUCUAGAAGGCCAUGGACGCAGUCCACCUUAGGAUGAUGGAUGGAAAAAUAAGAUGUUUUUAUAGGUGUUCACUGGAGUAUUUAAGGUGCAUGUAUGGGUGCUUUACAUGAGCCAGAUUAACUUCACAUUCCAUUUUCACCGUUCGACCAAAGCGCGGUCAAAAUGCUUCCUCUAUGGGCCUCAACGUUAAGUGUGUGGCAGAAAAUUUUUAGAAAAAUCUGCCCAGUUGAGCCUGAAAUCUUCUUUGUUGACAUCACAGCAAAAUCCCAAACCUAAUUUGCAGGCAAAUGUCCCUUUGGGGCACCCAUACAGAAUUUCUAUGUGCAUUUAACUGCUAGAGAGUAAGAGAAGGACUUUAUCACUGUUGUAAUAUGAUAGAUGAGGUCGUCUUCCUUUCCCUCUUUGUAUCUCUUUGCUUUUUUAUUUGUACUUGUUCCAGAUUCAUUUCCAUUGCUUUUUCUUCUGUCUUUUGUAAUACAACAUAGGCGAUGCAGUAACACAAUUGUUGUGUUGCCCCAGCAGACAUUUUGACAUGUCUCUGAGAACUGUUUUCUCUGGUUAUGGGAAAGAGACCUUGCAGUCACGGGGCUUUGAGACAUUUCUUUUGUGUUGCAUUUUUGUGAAAUCUCGCACUGGGCUGGGCCUAAUCAACUGUUUUUAUUGUUGUGUGUCAGGAGGAUGAUUUCUGUAAACAGUAUGUGAAAAAAAAAAAGUUUUUAUUUCUUUCAACUAUUAUGAUGGGUUUUAACCUGUGGAUAUAAAACAGAUGAAAAAGCUCAAAAAAAAAAAAAAAAAGAAAAGAAACAAGACCAAAUAAAAUGUAACACUUCUGAAUCGUUGGUGACUCUGUCGGAAUCAAGCAUGCAACAGGAAUAUUUGUCAGACAACAAGGAAGCUAUUCAUGAAUUUGUCGUUAAAACCAUGAUAAUGAAGGCAAAAAGAAUUACGUUAUCAUUAUGUAUAUAACGAUACACUCAACUCCCAACUCGAUAUGAUUUGUGAUUUAUCUCGCUAUGGUUCUUCCCACGUUCUGAUAUAACACUUGAACGCCAGGUUACAUAGAGACCCUAGCGCCACCUACUGUACUAGAGUGUGUAGUCUCAUGGUAUGACCACUAACACUGAUUUUAAAAUAUAAUAUUACUACACAAAAAAAUGUCAAACCAGUGGAAAGCACUGUGGACUUUGGUUUUUCCUCCGAUAAUGCUAAUUUGUGGAAUACCUUAAAUGGGGCAUCACGAUAAAAGUAGGUUAAUGUGUUAAUUCCACGACAGGGAAUAUGUGAUGUGAGCUAAAAUGGCUGCAUGUAUCGUCAUGGGUUGAUAUCAAAUUUGGAAAUUAAGUGUUUGGACAAUAUUGGAAUAUUGGAUUUCGGCAAAAAAGAUAAUAUGUGACAUCCCUGCUUUAAAUCAGUGGUUCUCAGACCUUUUCUGCAGAAUGCCUUUUCUUGUUGACUAUUGUCACUGUUCCCCCAGGUUUGCACAUUCACAGCUGUCGCUUCAAACCUACACAACGUGUGUGAACUGGUAUCGACUGGUGAAAUCCAGCAGAAACUGUUAUCAUCAGACCCUAAAGUUCCACUGUGUAAGAUUAAGGUGAACCUAUUCUACAUUACACUUCGAACUUCACUUGAAAAAAAAAAAAAUCUAUGAGGAAAAACUUGUUGUUUUGGACCGUAUAUAAACAUUAAAUCUCCUGCUUGUCACCCUUUUUUCCUUAAGUGGCAAGAUUUCUGGCGAGUCCCAAACUUUAGAGAACCAAAUGAAAAACACGGAGUGCAGACAUAAUCUCUCUGUUUGAACAUUUUUCACUAGGAUGUGAGAGGCUGCGGGAAAAUUGCAGCAGAUCUGAGAGAACAUCAACUCUCCCGAGAGAAGUUAUCAACUCAAAUAUGAAUUUGUUUGAAGAAUGAGAGGAACAACACGAUGUGAGCUACGUGCGACUGAGAUAACACACGGAAUGUAGAAUGGUGGAUCGGUGACGUCAGUGAGGAUGUGAUGAGAAACAGGCCUAGCCCCUCUCUUGUCCUGCUGCAAGUCUCUGAGGCUCACGUUGCCAUGGUCACCAAAUCAAAGAGUGUCAAGCACAGGGAUGUGGCUUUGCAGUGCACAUUCGGAUUUGCUCCACUUAAUAGUAUUAUUUAUGCAGUACUGGAAGAAGAGAGAAAAACGACCCCGAUGUUUCCUCAAGAUGUGAUUAAACUUGAUUCUCUUACUGAAGUUGCGGAAAGGGAGGAUGCUCAUCACUUGGUACCAAAUGACCUACGGACCGGCUACAGUCCCCGGACCACUGGUUGGUGACCCCUCUUCUAGUCACAGGUUGGAGACCUAACACUUACCUCUCUAGCUCAUUCAACAUUUACUAUUUAAAAUAAUUGUCCAUAUUGAGGUGCUACAUACUUGGGCAUACUGUUUCCCUAUACAAUACUCUUGAUGUUAAAGCAGAAAUGGUAUACAUUCCGCUCACUCGUUCACUUCGACUCUUCGUGUUCGUCGACUUCCGUACGCAUCUCCCAUGAGUCCCAUGUGUUUGCGUUAUCUACAUGAUUUUCUCUCUAUUUUGUGCAUUAUUCUUCAUAAUAGUGAUUAGUCCUAAGAAAGUGAGUGGUAAGGAUGGUAGUGAGAAGAAGAAACGCAUGAUGACCAUGGAAAUAAAGCAUGAAAUUGGUGAUAUGUGAGUGUGGUGCCCGCAUGAGUGAUCUUGCACGCAUGUAUGAACGCAGUACAUCCACGACAUGUACCAUCCUAAAGCAGAAGGAUGCUAUCAAGAACGAGUUUUUUUUGGAGGGCUGGAACGCUUUUCUGUUAUUUCUUAUGGGAACAAAUGAUUUGAGAUACGAGCACCUCGAGUUACGAGCUCGGUCCUGGGACGUAUUAUGCUGAUUUUUGUUUUUACAGAACAUAAAUAAUAGUUUUCAGACCAACUAAGUGAUUUCCAUGGCAGACCCACUGAUCUUAAUAUACAGGGCAUAUACAUGCUGGUUGGGCGAAUCAGUAGUUUUUGAAACGUAUGCUCAGAUGUUGACUAAAGAGUAGACAACACACUCCAGGGAUGGUUCGAUGUGAAGGACUUGCAGCUAUGUCUUACUGAAGAUGUAGCUCCAAGGCUAUGUUUGAAUGGUAAGGGAAUGUGUAUUGUGAUGCCACUCCAGUUAUUGUUUAUUGUUUACCUGCAGAGCGCUGCAUCCAAUGAUGGAGUUCAAUGAUUAAUGGGCCUCACGUCACUUCUAUUGUUGUGCGUUUCUGCUACGACCCUUUUUCUUCCAAGCACACAAGCCACAGUACAUCCAGGUCCAGAGCUUGAAACCAAGGAGAAAGUGUGAACCUGUCAGGGGACGACUGAAAGAGAAGUCGCACCUCAAGGUAAAGAAAAAGAAAAAGAAAAAAAAAAACAGACAGCUUCUCACAUCACUUCACCAGUACAUGUCUUUCUAAAGGGGUUUACGUUCCGUGUCAACAACUGCACAUUUUCUUCAAUGAAACAAGGAGACAAGACUGUAAAUUAUUGUUCCGGCGAGAGUGAAAGAGAUUGUAAAACAAUGAAUAUUUUAUAUAGUGCAUACUGUAUACAAGUCAUCCAGAAGCCUGGAAAAGCAUUUUAUUCACUACUUCAUUUAUAUAUUACAAAAUAUAUAAAAAUUCAUGCUUCUUGCUCUGUUAUCGUUAUGACAGAGCAGUUUUUGGAUGUGACAUUGUCCUUGAUUGUGAAAGAUCUUUGGGGAGCACUUUUUGGCAGGCUGGUCUGUUUGAAAAAGCAGUGACCCAGUAUUGCAGUGAAUCAUUAAAAAGGCCAUUAAAGACACUGCAUUUAUUCAUCCGAGGAAGAGUCUUUAACCAGUCUGAAAAUGUCUUUUUCUGGGUUGCAAUGUCAACAUACCAAGACUGACUGCAGACCAUGUUACAGUUCAAGGGAGAACAGGGCAAAAUAAAAAAAAAUACUUUAAAUUGCUAAUUAAAGGCAUAUUUAAAAUAUUGAAUGCCAUAUAUGUUUAUAUAUAUAUAUAUAUUUGUAUAAUAUUAAUAUUCUUCAAAAUAACAAGUAAAAAACUGAAUUUUUAUAUGGUAAUUCAUAAUGUCAAGUGUCUAUUAUAUGCAGUGUACUACAUUUUUCAAUUGAAGGUGCGUGAACCAGUUAAAGCAUAUCCUACAAAUAUUAGUUCCAUAUAAAUAGUUAAUAUUUAUAUUAAUGUUAUAAAAAUAUAAAAUUAUAUUUAUGCUAUGUUGCUGUGUUCCGAAUUAACUCAUCACAUCGUUCAUAUGCAGUAUAUAUAUUUAUAAAUAUAUAUAUAUAAAUAUAUGUGUAUAUAUGAACAUAUAUUUUUACAUAUAUAGUAUAGCAUUAUAGUGUAGUAUGUAUAUAUAUAUAUAUAUAUAUGUAUAUGUUACACACAUACAUUCUUUAUUGACAUACACUCAGUUCUUAAUGAGGAUUGAAUGUUGUUUUCUGCCCUGUCGCUGCCAUUUACUUCCUUUUUAUUAGAGAAUGUCAGAAUCUCCGGUUUUACGUGCCAAUCUGAUGGUUAGCCUGUGCUCACACAGCCAAAUAAUACUAAGUGCUUCAUGACUUAAUGAGUGAAAUAGAGCAGAAAAAGCUAGUGGCCCGAUAAGGCUUACAGCAAAGUGACACUGGAACAAAGAUGUCUCUAGUGCUUUAAUAAAGAAAAGCUAAGAUCUCUCGUGCUAAUUAUAAUUGGAAUCAUUUUCACUCGUAUUGUUCCAAAGCUCAGAGAAAGAUUAAAUAUAGUCGUUAAGUCGAAUGCUGAUUACGUUAGAAUGUUAAACUAUUAAGGCGGCAUUCAUAUUAAUGCACGUGAGGAACUGCAUUACAGCAGAGAGCGAGACACACAAGCCCAGUUGGCGUGGGUUUACCAGGCUGGGGACAUCCUGUUCUUUAUGUUUGUGCUGCAGUGGCCACCAGAGGGCAAUGUGUAAGUACAGAGCUGUCUCCUGUGGGCAGCAAGUGCAGCCCAUAAUCACAUUAGACUGUGUGCUAAUCUAUUCUUUUCAUCGCUGUAGCCCCUGCCAUUUUUCCACUGUGGUUUCCCAUCUUGCAGCAGCUGGGAGUUGUGCUGCGGCAGAGUGUGAGGUCAGGGCCUGAGUGUGUGUUUCCUUUGCCUCACUUACCUGGAGUAGCUGUGAUGAGCUGCUGUCAGAUGAAGCAUAGCACAAUGGGGCCGACUAAUGAUGUUUUUAGGGAGUGUGGGUCGUCCCACUGCGUGGAGCGGCAAGAAUUACCAAGGAGCGCUGAUUGACAGAUUGAGAUCAUGGAAAUUACCGACAAAAGAGUGAGUCUAUGUGCUGAAUUAAAAUAUUACAGUCUCUAUUUGUAUACACGGUACACAGAGUCAAUCUGAAAGAAAAAAGAAAGAACGACUCAAAUGUUAUGUAAAACUCAUUAGAAAUGCUCAGCAUAAAAAAAGUCUCGACAUUUGCUGAAGAAAUACCUGCAUGUCGGAAAUUGCCCCAGCCUGCCACCAUGUGACCACACUUCUGGGUUGAGAACCAGGGGUCAGACAUAAACAGAAACGCAGAGAGAAAUACUCUCAAAGAAACCGGGAACCGCAUUUGAAACUCUGACGGCAGAGGCUUUUAAUUUUCCUGCAAAAUAGAAGGUUAACUUCUGAAAGUCUGAUUCAAAAACGCUCAGCCGGGUGUCUGCAGUGACAUGCGGCGAGGUUCGCAGCAGGCGAGGCGCUGACUCUUUCAGAGACGGGUUUUCAAAUAAGGCGAACCCAAUGGAGUAGCUGGAAUUCAUCAUUCAAUUGUCAGCCUGCACUUUCAGCCUUACCCGUGUUUUCUAUCACAUCAGUUUAUUUCAAAUGUAGCCUCAACCAAGCUAAACACGUGAUAGUUCGGAGUGAAACUCUGCACCUGUGCUUUAAAUAUAAUUAAAAGGAUUAUUUCAUUAUGUAAUAAUAUAUAUUAUUACUAUAAUUUGUUUUAUUACAUAUGUAUGUUAUAUUAUUUGUAUUAUUUUAUUGACAAUAUAAUCAACGAUUCUCAUUACUAAUUUUCAGGGCUGGCAAAAUCGUGUCGAUUAAU